rnacentral:rRNA from 1 species
UGGGUUUCACCAGAAGURGGUAGCCUAACCGCAAGRAGGGCGCUUACCACGGUGGGAUUCAUGACUGGGGUGAAGUCGUAACAAGGUAGCCGUAGGUGAACCUGCAGAAGGAUCA